rnacentral:rRNA from 1 species
GACGAAGGGGGCUAGCGUUGCUCGGAUUUACUGGGCGUAAAGGGCGCGUAGGCGGAUGACCAAGUUGGGGGUGAAAUCCCGGGGCUCAACCUCGGAACUGCCUCCAAAACUGGUCGUCUUUGAGUAUGGGAGAGGUGUGUGGAACUCCGAGUGUAGAGGUGAAAGUUCGUUCAGAUAUUCGCAAGAACACCAGUGGCGAAGGCGGCUCACUGGCCCGGUACUGACGCUGAGGUGCGAAAGCGUGGGGAGCAAACAGG